rnacentral:rRNA from 1 species
GUGCCAGCAGCCGCGGUAAUACAGAGGGGGCUAGCGUUAUUCGGAAUUAUUGGGCGUAAAGGGCGCGUAGGCGGCCAUGCGUGUCUUCCGUGAAAUCCCUCGGCUUAACUGAGGACGUGCGGAAGAAACUGCAAGGCUCGAGUCCGGGAGAGGGGGGUGGAAUUCCCAGUGUAGCGGUGAAAUGCGUAGAUAUUGGGAGGAACACCGGUGGCGAAGGCGGCCCCCUGGACCGGUACUGACGCUGAGGCGCGAAAGCGUGGGUAGCAAACGGGAUUAGAUACCCCGGUAGUCC